UGGUGGAGUGAUUUGUCUGGUUAAUUCCGAUAACGAACGAGACCUUAACCUGCUAAAUAGCCAGGCCGGCUUUUGCUGAUCGCCGGCUUCUUAGAGGGACUGUCAGCGUCUAGCUGACGGAAGUUUGAGGCAAUAACA
rnacentral:rRNA from 1 species